GACGAACGCUGGCGGCGUGCUUAACACAUGCAAGUCGAACGAAGUGGCGAACGGGUGAGUAAUACGUGGGUAACCUGCCCUCCUUUUUGGGAUAAGCCUUGGAAACGGGGUCUAAUACCGAAUAAAGGGGGAUGGGCUCGCGGCCUAUCAGCUUGUUGGUGGGGUGAUGGCCUACCAAGGAGGUGACGGGUAGCCGGACUGAGAGGGUGCUAGGUCAGAUUGUGACUGAGAUACGGCCCAGACUCCUACGGGAGGCAGCAGUGGGGUAUAGUGCACAAUGGGCGAAAGCCUGUUGCAGCGACGCCGCGUGGGGGAUGAAGGCUUUCGGGUUGUAAACCUCUUUCGCUCUCGAACGGGUAGGUGGAGCAGAAGCGCCGGCUAACUACGUGCCAGCAGCCGCGGUAAUAC
rnacentral:rRNA from 1 species